rnacentral:lncRNA from 1 species
CUCUUUUAUAUAUUCUUAAGGAUAUAUUGAAGGCUCAUCUACAUAAAUUAAGAACAUUUAACUUGCUCUGGAAUCAUUGUGAAAAUAAAUGUCUUCGAUUUCCUAAUAGCUAUAUAACUCACAAAAAUAAGAGUAAGUAAAUUUUAAAUAAAUUUGUAUCUAUAAAUUGAUUUAUGUUUGUACUGUCUUAGGACACAACAAUAUUUCAUAAAUCAAAUAUCAAUGAUAAAAAUAUGUAUUCCAUAUUAAAGCUUUAAAAGUAAGGUGCUGCAUUGAGAUUACUUUCUACACAUACCCCCUUCAAAGAUGUUUAAUAAUAUUUCACACUUAAAUGAAGACAUACAAAUGAUACAGUUAACACUCUCUCUUUCUCUCUCUCUCUCACACACACACACACACUCAUGUAUAUACAUGUUCUUUUUAAAAUUCAGAAUAAAAAUAACAAAUAAAUCUUUGAGGGGAAAAAAGAAAAAAAGGCUCUUUAUAUGCCAAAUUACUGAGAAAAUAUUCAGCUAUAUUUUUUACUCUUUUUUUCUUUUAUGUAGUGAACCUCAGGUGUAAACUUCUGGCAGCAUUUUGAUCAGAUUUAGAAAAUAGUUGAAAGAGGAAGAACAAAGGGAGAUGAUAUAAAUGGCAGAAAACUUAAGGCAUCUUUGGAUGAAAAAAUAACCUGAAUCAAGAAAAUGUAAUUUUUGAUGGUGAUUACACUUCGAAGAAAAUAAAGUGGAUUGAGGAGCCAGAUAUGACUGGGCAGGAAAUUAGAUAGGAUAGACAAGAUGACCUCUCUAAAGGGGGCUAUUGAGCUGAUACUUGAAUGAUAAAAAGGAGCAGGCUAUCAGAAGUUACGAAUCAAGUGUCUUUCAGAAAGAGGAAAACAAAAAAUAAUGGAAAUAGGGAUAACCCAUUAGAGAAAAUGUGAGAAGGCUUACAUGGUUGGAACAAAAUGAGUAAGGGUAAGUUUCAGAAGAAGAGAAUAAAGACAGGGAACUAUAAGGUGGGAUGAGAUAAAGAGUUUAUACCUUAUUUUGAGUAAUGGGAAAUAAUUAUUGGGUUUUAUGCUGGAUAAUAUUUGUAAUCUGAAUUAGAAUGUGAAGAUUACUGCAGCUGUCUCACAGGUCAUCAAUAGUUCUGGGAACAGGAGAAUGUUUUGGGAACUGUUAGCAGGUUACUGGAAAGUUUAUGUAAAAGAUGUUACAUACUUUAAGUAGGAUCCAGGCAGUAGUGUUUUAAGAAACAGUCCAGUUUGGAUACUUUCUGAAAGAAUAAAUAGCAAGAUUACAUAAGGAUACAAUGACUGGAAGAAUCAAGGAGAAAGCCUAGUGUUUUGGUCUAAGAGACUGGGUAAAUUGAAGUAGUAUUAACUAUGAUGUAUAAAACGGACAAAAGCAAUUUGUGAGUGGAUAAACAUCAGAAUUUAAUAUUCAAAAUUCAAGACCAAAUACUGGAAUUAAUAAAUUCAUGUCAGUGCUGAAACUUUGUCAAGUUAUGCUACUGACAUGAAGUAAUGAUACAGUAUAUCUGAGGAGAAAAAAAUAAAUAAAUUCACCUAUUGGGAAAGUGUUGUUGGAGGAGAGAAAAAUGACAAGAACUGAAAACAUUUGUUCUCCGUCACUUCGUGGUCUGGAGUAGACAGAAGAGCAAAGGUACAAAGAGUCAGCAGCUGGUGAGCCUUGAGGGAUACUAAGAGAGUGCAGUAACAUGGAAACCAAUGCCAGUGUUUCUAGAAUAAGAGUGUUAACUGUGUGAAUGCUGGUGGGAAAGUUGAAUAUGGGUAAUAGACUUGAAUAGACAAUAUGGUGCACAUUGGUGACCCUAUAAUGUUUCAGAGGUGUAGUGACAAGGAUGAACGGAGGAGAUUGAAGAGAAUGUGCAGUGGAUGAAUGCGGAAAUUGUAUCUGAGUCCUUCAAAAAAAAUUUAUUCUAAAGGGGGACAACAUUUAUUUGGUAGUAGUCAGAGAAGUAUGAUGUUCAAGAAUAUGGGACCCAUUAUAGCAAGUGAUAUGCAAAUAGUAAUGUGUUUCCAGAUGAUUUUUCUAGUCAAAAACAAG